CUUAAAGAAUGAAAUCCCUUAAAAGCACCAAAUCCUAUCUGAUCUUGGAAGCUAAGCAGGGUCAGCUGUGGCUAGUAGCUUGUCUGGGAGACCACCAAGGAAUCCUAGGUGCGGUGGGC
rnacentral:rRNA from 1 species